rnacentral:rRNA from 1 species
UACGUAGGGACCGAGCGUUGUCCGGAAUCAUUGGGCGUAAAGAGCGUGUAGGCGGCUCGCUAAGUCUUGCGUGAAAUCUCGGGGCUCAACCCCGAGCGGUCGUGAGAAACUGGCGGGCUAGAGUGCGGGAGAGGAGAGUGGAAUUCCUGGUGUAGCGGUGAAAUGCGCAGAUAUCAGGAAGAACACCCGUGGCGAAGGCGGCUCUCUGGAACGCAACUGACGCUGAGACGCGAAAGCGUGGGAGCAACA